GCAUAUCAAUAAGCGGAGGAAAAGAAACUAACAAGGAUUCCCCUAGUAACUGCGAGUGAAGCGGGAAAAGCUCAAAUUUUGAAUCUGGCAGUCUUUGCAGGCCGUCCGAGUUGUAAUCUAGAGAAGCGUCUUCCGCGCCGGCCUGUGUACAAGUCUCCUGGAAGGGAGCGUCAUAGAGGGUGAGAAUCCCGUCUCUGACACGGACCACCGGUGCUAUGUGAUGCGCUCUCGACGAGUCGAGUUGUUUGGGAAUGCAGCUCAAAAAGGGUGGUAAACUCCAUCUAAAGCUAAAUAUUGGCGAGAGACCGAUAGCGAACAAGUACCGUGAGGA
rnacentral:rRNA from 1 species